CCUACGGGAGGCAGCAGUGGGGAAUUUUCCGCAAUGGGCAAAAGCCUGACGGAGCAAUACCGCGUGAGGGAUGAAUGCCUAUGGGUUGUAAACCUCUUUUUUCAGGGAGGAACAAAAUGACGUGUACCUGAAGAAUAAGCAUCGGCUAACUCCGUGCCAGCAGCCGCGGUAAU
rnacentral:rRNA from 1 species